rnacentral:rRNA from 1 species
AACGAACGCUGGCGGCAUGCCUAACACAUGCAAGUCGAACGCCUGUAGCAAUACAGGAGUGGCGGACGGGUGAGUAACACGUGGGAAUCUACCCAGUAGCCUGGAAUAACCGCGGGAAACUGCGGCUAAUACCGGAUACGCCCCGAGGGGGAAAGGAGCAAUCCACUAUUGGAGGAGCCCGCGCCCGAUUAGCUAGUUGGUGAGGUAAUGGCUCACCAAGGCGAUGAUCGGUAGCUGGUCUGAGAGGACGACCAGCCACACUGGGACUGA